rnacentral:misc_RNA from 1 species
GGUCCUUUUGGGUUUACACGUUGCUUAGAACUGCACACCCACCUUCUCUAUAUUAACAUUCCUUUCCUACACUCUUUUGGGCUAUCAAAGCUACCUACUGCAAGCGAAAAGAACUCCAGUUGCAUUGUAAGAGGAACUUAAUUUCUUCUGGUUUUGUGGUUUUUGAUUUUGAGGGCUAAGGUGAAAGGAGGAAAAUGGCAACUGUUGGCAGGAACAUUGCAGCUCCGCUGCUGUUUCUUAACUUGAUCAUGUAUUUUAUUACCCUGGGCUUUGCUAGUUGGUGUCUUAAUAGGUAUAUCAAUGGCCAAACCUACCAUCCGAGUUUUGGAGGGAAUGGAGCUACAGGUUUCUUCCUCACCUUUGCCAUAUUAGCGUCUGUUGUUGGCAUAGUGUCCAAGUUCGCUGGUGGCACCCACAUCAGGGCCUGGAGGAAUGACAGUCUAGCUGCUGCUGGCGCAUCUUCAAUGAUAGCCUGGGCCAUCACUGCCCUAGCUUUUGGGUACCUGUCACUAUUCACUACCAUAUCAAUUAAUUAAUUUAGUACCUUGCAAAUGCACCAACUAUCGUUAAUUUGAUUUGAUUGAAUCCGUUGUUUUCAGGUUUGCAUGCAAGCAAAUAAACUUAGGAGGGCACAGAGGUUGGAGACUCAAGGUAGUGGAGGCAUUUAUAAUAAUAUUGACAUUUACCCAACUCUUGUAUCUCCUUCUGCUUCAUGCUGGGAUGUUUAGCAGCAGGUAUGGCCCUGGCUACCGGGACACUGAAUAUGGCGUGGCGACCGGUGGAGAUCCAAUGCACAAGGGUGAUGUUCCACUGGCUGGAACUAGGGUUUGAAUGACUAUGUACUAAUUAAUGUAUAAUACUAAUAGAACCAUCCCGUGUCAAUUUCAUCCCUUUGUUUGGGACUAUUAGGUCUGGUUUGGGACUUGCUCUCUAUGUUUAGUCCAGUUCUGGUUAUGCAAGUAUAAAGUUGCGUGCAUUAUAUCAUGAAUAUAUACCUCUAUGGUCAUGUGCUUCAUUGGCCUAUAAAUAAUUGAUGUUUAAUGCUACAAGCAACUUUUGCCUACCAUGAUAGUUUUGUUGUUCGUUGAUAUGCCUAUGCCGAUGCU